rnacentral:rRNA from 1 species
AUCUGGGCGGCGGAAUUCAGGAUGGCGGGCGCGUCUUCGCGGCGCGUUCGUCGUUUGAUAUUUCCGUCGCCGACUCACCCGCAGACGUCGCGACCUGUUCGCGGUCGGUCCCUGCUCGGAGGAGCCACGUUCGAGUUCGUUGUGUGCGCGUUUCUGCGCGUUUCACGGCGAAGGCGUGGAUCUCUGGCUGGCCGUCGGACAGUACGUUCAACGGUGUCCGGUGCGGUCGUCUCGUACGCGCUUGCAUCGGUACCGGUCGGCGACGAAUUCUUCGGGCCUCUUUCCGACCCGUCUUGAAACACGGACCAAGGAGUCUAACAUGCGCGCGAGUCGCGGGGUGUCGAGCGUACCACGGUGCGUUCGUUACGUUGCGAAACCCGUACAUGUCGAAGGCGUAAUGAAAGUAAAUGGGGAAGAUGGUGUUCCGAGUACACGUUCCGCGGUCAUUGGUACCGCGGCCGGACACCCGCAUUCCCGGGGCGUCUCAACGGCCCGUCGUAGAUGCGGAUCGCCGUCUCUCGGGGCGGUGGGUCGGUCCGCGACGAACCGA